rnacentral:rRNA from 1 species
UAGAGUUUGAUCAUGGCUCAGAUUGAACGCUGGCGGCAGGCCUAACACAUGCAAGUCGAGCGGUAGAGAGAAGCUUGCUUCUCUUGAGAGCGGCGGACGGGUGAGUAAUGCCUAGGAAUCUGCCUGGUAGUGGGGGAUAACGUUCGGAAACGGACGCUAAUACCGCAUACGUCCUACGGGAGAAAGCAGGGGACCUUCGGGCCUUGCGCUAUCAGAUGAGCCUAGGUCGGAUUAGCUAGUUGGUGAGGUAAUGGCUCACCAAGGCGACGAUCCGUAACUGGUCUGAGAGGAUGAUCAGUCACACUGGAACUGGGACACGGUCCAGACUCCUACGGGAGGCAGCAGUGGGGAAUAUUGGACAAUGGGCGAAAGCCUGAUCCAGCCAUGCCGCGUGUGUGAAGAAGGUCUUCGGAUUGUAAAGCACUUUAAGUUGGGAGGAAGGGCAUUAACCUAAUACGUUAGUGUUUUGACGUUACCGACAGAAUAAGCACCGGCUAACUCUGUGCCAGCAGCCGCGGUAAUACAGAGGGUGCAAGCGUUAAUCGGAAUUACUGGGCGUAAAGCGCGCGUAGGUGGUUUGUUAAGUUGGAUGUGAAAUCCCCGGGCUCAACCUGGGAACUGCAUUCAAAACUGACUGACUAGAGUAUGGUAGAGGGUGGUGGAAUUUCCUGUGUAGCGGUGAAAUGCGUAGAUAUAGGAAGGAACACCAGUGGCGAAGGCGACCACCUGGACUAAUACUGACACUGAGGUGCGAAAGCGUGGGGAGCAAAC